AUGCUUAUCUCGUGGGAAAUUUGGAACAAGAGAAACGCACGUGUGUUCCGUAACACCGUGGUGUCGGUAGGGGUUCUUGUUGCUCAAAUCAAAGAUGUAUCCAAGCUAUGGUGUCUUGCAAGGGCAAAGUAUUUAAGUAAUGUAGUGCCGCGAGAGUAA
rnacentral:rRNA from 1 species